GGUCUUAUAGCUCAGUUGGUCAAAGCGUCGUACUAAUAUUAUAAUACAAUUAUAACAUCGGUAAUGCGAAGGCCGUGAGUUUAAGCCUCACUGGGACCA